GGGGGAAUGCCAUAGCUCAGCAGUAGAGCAAUUGCUUUGUAUGCAGAAGGUCCCAGGUUCCAUCUCUGGUUAUCUCCA